UUGUUAUUAUCAUUAUCACACACACACACGCACACACACACACACACACACACACACACACACACACACACACACACACACACACACACACACACACACACACACACACACACACACACACACACACAAACUUAACGUCUCCAUAAAAAAAAAAAAAAAAAGUAAAGCAAUGAUUACAUGGUAAGAAAUGCUGAUAAUUUAUACGACAUUUUCGUGUUCCCCGGAAUCCACCAAUCACAUCCUGGCAUUAGAAAACCCUCGAAGUGACACGGACAAAUAAGAAGCCGCUGUGGAUGCCUCCAAAUGGAAAAAAAAACAGAGUGGUUAAAUGAUGAGCUUCAUUUGCGGCUUGAGCUUCUAGUUCUGCAGACCUGCUGAGGCUGUUGACCCGGCUGUUGCGAGGGAUCCUUCUUGUGUUCCGUAGUGACAGAAAAAUAGAAUCCAAGGAAGGAGAUGCUGGUGACCGCCCUUCUGUUCUUGGUGAGCACAUCUGCCACAGAAGUUGGGAAUGUAGCUCCUCUUGUUUCUGGGAAGCAUGCUCCUUCAGUGAUGAGUGACGCGCUUGUGCAAGUGAUGAGAGUAUCCUCGGAUUCACGGUGCACUCGCUUGUUAUUCAUAGACGAUGGCUUCUCUUUUGCUUCCAUCACUAUCGAAACUGUUAUGGGUGUGAACCCUGUGCGAGCCUCUGGAGUGUUUUUGAUGGGGCACGAGCGAAAAGGUAACGGGACGCAGCAGGACUGGCUGUCUGUGGCCAUCGGUCAAGCCCGUCAGGUGAGAAUGGUGUCGUGGUGCGUGAUGGUGAUGGUGGUGACCAACAAUCCCAGUGUUCUCGGCACCUUUGCCGAGCUAUCGGUGAAGAACCACCUCUUGGGACCGUCUACGAGACUCCUUGCCAUUACUCAACUUCCUCUCCGUCGCUUAGAAAGUAUAGAAUUUUUUCAUAAAUUUUUUUCCAGAAUGGAUGCUAUGAUCCUCCUUCUUGGCGAUUCAAAGGAAAAAACAAGUGGGGGAGUGUAUAUAUAUCUUCCUAACAUAACAGCAGCAAGGGGCAGAAUUCAGCUGGCAACCCUAUCAGCUAAAGGAUUGAUUUCCAUAUCUGAUCUUCCUUUUUUUCCGGACAAAUAUACCAAAUUCUUGAAAAAACCUGUUUUGAAGAUUGUCAUGGAACAGCUAAGUGCAAUACAGAGGAAGGACGCAGGCUGUAACCAAAACAUUAUGAGAUAUUUACAGCAAGGAAUGAAUUUUAC